ACGAACGUUGGCGGCGUGGAUUAGGCAUGCAAGUCGAACGAAUCCCGGGUAGCAAUAUCCGGGGGAAGUGGCGAAAGGGGCAGUAAGGCGUGGGUAACCUACCUCCGGGAUGGGGAUAGCCUUCCUAACGGAAGGGUAAUACCCGGCGAGCUGGCGAGGUGGCAUCACUUUGCCAGGAAAUGAAUUUCGCCUGGAGAGGGGCCCAUGUAGUAUUAGCUUGUUGGCGGGGUAACGGCCCACCAAGGCCAAGAUGCUUAGCAGGUGUGAGAGCACGAUCUGCGCCACUGGCACUGUGACACUGGCCAGACUCCUACGGGAGGCUGCAGUCGAGAAUCUUCGGCAAUGGGCGCAAGCCUGACCGAGCGACGCCGCGUGUGCGAUGAAGGCCUUCGGGUUGUAAAGCACUGUCGAGGGGGAGGAAAGCUCGCAAGGGCCUGACCUAUCCCUGGAGGAAGCACGGGCUAAGUUCGUGCCAGCAGCCGCGGUAAGACGAACCGUGCGAACGUUGUUCGGAAUCACUGGGCUUAAAGGGCGCGUAGGCGGGCGAUCAAGUCAGGGGUGAAAUCCGUCGGCUUAACCGGCGAAGAGCUUUUGAUACUGGUCGUCUCGAGGGAGGUAGGGGCAUAGGGAAUUCCUGGUGGAGCGGUGAAAUGCGUAGAGAUCAGGAAGGAACGCCGGUGGCGAAAGCGGCUGCUGCUAGGACCUAUCUGACGCUGAGGAGCGAAAGCUAGGGGAGCAAAUGGGAUUAGAUACCCCAGGUAGUCCUGGCCCGUAAACGAUGGAUACUAGCGUGCUUGUAGACUGCCGAGCGUAAGCCGGAGCUAAAGCUGUUAAGUACCCCGCCUGGGGAGUACUGCACGCAAGUGUGAAACUCAAAGGAAUUGACGGGGGCCUCACACAAGCGGUGGAGUAUGUGGUUAAUUCGAGGCUACGCGAAGAACCUUAUCCAGGACUUGACAUGUCCGAAAGGCGGUCGGAAGAGGAGAGGAAGUUCCUUCGACGGUAUCAGUCCGAACUAACAGGUGGUGCAUGGCUGUCGUCAGCUCGUGUCGUGAGAUGUUGGGUUAAGUCCCGUAACGAGCGCAACCCUCGUUUUCAGUUGCCAGCAGGUAAGUUGGGCACUCUGGAGAGACUGCCGGUGUAAACCGGAGGAAGGGGAGGAUGACGUCAAGUCAUCAUGGCCCUUAUGCCAUUGGGCUACACACGUAGCUACAAUGCUACGGACAAAGGGCAGCCAACCAGCGAGGGGAUGCUAAUCUCAAAAACCGUAGCCCAGUUCAGAUCGCAGGCUGCAACUCGCCUGCAUGAAGUAGGAAUCGCUAGUAAUUGCAGGUCAGCAAUACUGCAGGUGAAUGUCGUUCCCUGAGCCUUGUACACACCGCCCGUCACAGCCAUGGAAAGUUGGUCACGCCCGAAGUCAUUACCCCAACCUUUUGGAGGGGGAUGCCUAAGGUAGGACUGGUGACU
rnacentral:rRNA from 1 species